rnacentral:rRNA from 1 species
UGCAGUCGACGAUUAACUUUCCUUCGGGAAAGAUAUAAAGUGGCGCACGGGUGAGUAACACGUAGGUAAUGUACCUUUGGGUGGGGAAUAACUUAGGGAAACUUAAGCUAAUACCGCAUAAUGCGAUAGCGUCUAUGACGCAUUUGUUAAAGAUUUAUCGCCUGAAGAGCAGCCUGCGGCAGAUUAGCUAGUUGGUAAGGUAACGGCUUACCAAGGCUACGAUCUGUAUCCGACCUGAGAGGGUGGUCGGACACACUGACACUGAAUAACGGGUCAGACUCCUACGGGAGGCAGCAGUCGGGAAUUUUGGGCAAUGGGCGAAAGCCUGACCCAGCAACGCCGCGUGAAGGAUGAAGUCUUUCGGGAUGUAAACUUCGUAAGAAUAGGAAGAAUAAAUGACGGUACUAUUUGUAAGGUCCGGCUAACUACGUGCCAGCAGCCGCGGUAAUACGUAGGGACCAAGCGUUGUUCGGAUUUACUGGGCGUAAAGGGCGCGUAGGCGGCAAUUCAAGUCAGUUGUGAAAUCUCCGAGCUUAACUCGGAACGGUCAACUGAUACUGCUUUGCUAGAGUACAGAAGGGGCAAUCGGAAUUCUUGGUGUAGCGGUGAAAUGCGUAGAUAUCAAGAGGAACACCUGAGGUGAAGACGGGUUGCUGGGCUGAUACUGACGCUGAGGCGCGAAAGCUAGGGUAGCAAACGGGAUUAGAUACCCCGGUAGUCCUAGCCCUAAACGAUGAAUACUUGAUGUCUGGAGUUUUAUUUCUCGGGUGCCGUCGCUACGUUUUAGUAUUCCGCCGGGGGAGUACGCACGCAGUGUGAACUCAA